AAUUAGGAGGCAAUUGGACAGGGACAGCAUUCCAGCGGGUUGAGGGUCAGAGUUAACUCUAAGGUUUUCAUUCUAUGUAAGCAGUGAGGAGCAGUCUGAGCUUCUGGGGUGAAAUUGAGGACAUGCAGGUGUGAUGCAAUGGAUCCAUUUGUAGGUCCAAGAUCUGAGAAAGCCAUCAAAGCUGGAUGAGAGUUGGAGUCUGGUUUAGUGCAUGUGAGAAUUUGCCAGGCAGGUUUUCUACAUAGUCUUUCUAAGGUGGUCUAAACAAGAGUCUGUGGCAGUAGCCCAGAAAGGAAGUUGAUCUUACCUAAAAGCUCAACCCCUAAACCUCUCCAGCAUGAUGGACCUACCAGGAGCACAAAACUCCUGUAAGCCAAAGGGUCGGGAAGGCCCACAAGCCAACACACCACCAUCAAGGACAGGCGCGAAAAGCAGUCGACCAGGCUUCCGCUGGAGAUGGGAUUGCCAGACAUAAAUCUUGGAAGAGGACGUAUUUAUGAGCAGAGACGUUCGGCUUUCUGCCGGCUCAUCACACUGACUGUCUGCUGGUGAACUGCGUGUUUGGUUUCUGCUGGCUUCAUGCAAACAUCCAGCGUGUAUCCACACUGCACUCAGCUAAACCUUCCUACAAAGGAAUAAUAGAUAUGAUCACCAUGCGACAGAGCCCUGGAUUUCCAAGCUCUUAUUCUCCAUGUUAUGCUCUGGUGGGUGUUGGAAACAACUCCCUGCUGCUCCAACCAUGAUCCUCCCUUCCUUUCCUACCUCCAGCCCUACAGCUCUGAGAUCGCCUCGUGGAAAUACCAAACCGUUGCUCACCGGCAUGUACAACCUCUAACACGCGUGCUCCAACAAGCCAUCAUCCACCACCAGCAUGCCAGUCCAGAUCCCUCCGGCAGAUCCAGUCCGGUUUCAGUGUCAUUUUGUUUAAUUACAUAUAAACUGUUAAACCUGC